AGGGUUUGAUCAUGGCUCAGAACGAACGCUGGCGGCGUGGAUAAGACAUGCAAGUCGAACGCUGAUUUCACUGUAGCAAUACAGUGGAGUCGGAGUGGCGCAAGGGUGCGUAACACGUGGGAAUCUACCAUGAAGUUGGGGAUAACUCGCUGAAAGGCGAGCUAAUACCGAAUGUGGCUGUAAAGCUAAAGUUGGGGAUCGUAAGACCUGACGCUUCUUGAUGAGCCCGCGGCCUAUCAGCUAGUUGGUGGGGUAAUGGCUCACCAAGGCUAAGACGGGUAGCUGGUCUGAGAGGACGACCAGCCACACUGGAACUGAGACACGGUCCAGACACCUACGGGUGGCAGCAGUCGAGAAUUUUUCUCAAUGGGCGCAAGCCUGAAGGAGCGACGCCGCGUGGGGGAUGAAGGGUUUCGAUCCGUAAACCCCUGUCAUUUGUGAACAAUGGUCACCGUUUAAGAGAUGGUGGCUUGAUAGUAAUGAAAGAGGAAGGGACGGCUAACUCUGUGCCAGCAGCCGCGGUAAUACAGAGGUCCCGAGCGUUGUUCGGAUUCACUGGGCGUAAAGGGUGCGUAGGUGGCCAUGAAAGUCUGAUGUGAAAUCUCCGGGCUCAACCCGGAAAAUGCAUUGGAUACUAUGUGGCUUGAGGUUUGGAGGGGGGACUGGAAUUCUCGGUGUAGCAGUGAAAUGCGUAGAUAUCGAGAGGAACACCAGUGGCGAAGGCGGGUCCCUGGACAACACCUGACACUGAGGCACGAAAGCUAGGGGAGCAAACAGGAUUAGAUACCCUGGUAGUCCUAGCCCUAAACGGUGCAUGCUUGCUGUAGGAGGAAUCGACCCCUUCUGU
rnacentral:rRNA from 1 species